rnacentral:rRNA from 13 species
ACGAGUUACUCCUCUCUGGCAAGGUUAAGGGUUUUAAGGCCCGGAGCCGCAGCGAAAGCGAGUCUGAAUAGGGCGCACAGUCAGGGGGGGUAGACGCGAAACUUUGUGAUCUACCCAUGGGCAGGAUGAAGUUUGGGUAAAACCAAAUGGAGGUCCGAACCAGUUUACGUUGAAAAGUAUUUGGAUGACCUGUGGGUAGGGGUGAAAGGCCAAUCAAACUG